ensembl:lncRNA
GGCUCCCCUCGGCGGGACUGAAUGAUCAAAACUGGUGGUGAGAAUUUUUCCGGACCGUUUCUAGCAGCGCCUUCGGGUGGGAUGGGCAGGCGAGAAGGCCGUUUUCCUCUCCCGGCCUCGGGUCCCUCCCUGAAAUGCGGCGUCAGAUGGUUACUGAUUAAUAUUUUGGAGAGGCCUUGGCAGCGGGCAGCGGGCAGCGGGCAUCCGCUCUCAAGACGCGUUCCAGCCGACAAAAUUCUCCCCCUUCAUUAUAAAGCCAAAGGACAGGCCAACCUUGAGCCCGGCUGUGUCCCCUGCCGCGCCUUUGUCGGCGCUGAGGCCUGCGAAUGUUGGCUGGUCCUCCGAUUCCUGGAGCACAAGUCGGCCUCAGUUCUCCCCACGGCACGGUCGAACCUGGUUCUUCCAGAACCUUGGUGUUGCUGGCCGCGUGGAUACAUCUUCCCCGUUUUCUCAGCAAGGGUAAGGGGACAGCUAGCAUUCUUUCCAAGGCAUGGAAGUCCAAGUCACCCCAUCGGUUGCCCCGAACCGCCUUUCUCCGAUCGGAGCCCCCGAACUACACCAGCGUCUAAGGUAGUGAAGGGGAUGCCGAGGAUGGCGAGCUCCAAAGGCCGUGGGCAGUUCUAGGCAAGAGUUUCCGCAGGGUCGAACAACCAGGGAGCUCCCUGCCCGGGCGCCGCUAAAACCCGGAGAGGCCGCGCCCGGCACAGCCAUCCUCGCUGCAACUGGACCAGGUGCGGCUCAGCCAGCCCAGUCGAGAGCCAUGAGGACUCACCAGGAAGGCCAGAGACGCGGUGCCAGCGCCCCGCUCGCCACCAGAACCCUGGUGCACGGCUAGGAGAGCCCGGGCCGUUGCGCCAGGCCGGGCCUCGAAGGAUUCCUCCGACUCCUCUCGGCCCCGCCUACGACCCUGGCCUCUUCCUCCGGCCCGGGUCGGGUCUUCCACUCCACUGUUUGGCUCGAAGAGGACGGAGAAGCGCUCAGUGCGCUGGGGGCCGGCCACGGCCAUAAAUCUCCCUCACCAGCCCUCCUUCCGCUGCUCACUGGCGGGUGUUCCAGCCUGGCCACUCGUCCCCGGCCGCCAGGUACCCUGCUCUCCCGGUCACUACGCUGGAAAUCACUGUCAGGAGCUUCCCCGUUCGCCAAAAAGAGGGAGUCGCCUCGCCCAUUCGGUGCCACCACCAGCCAUCCCCUCGAGUGCCGGACCCCGAGGCGGCCUGGGCCUCACGGAUCACCGCCCUGGGUAGGGGCGUGCGGGGGCCAGGUGAAGGCCUGCUGAGGUUUGAAUGGGUGCGCAGCUAUCCGAGCCACCGAGGGGCGACGCCUAGGUCAGGAACAGUGGCUUCUCAGCUGGUCACCUCAACGGACCCUGCCUUAGUCCCGCGCCCUUGGAUCCCUCUUCGCUCGCCACGGGUUCCCCAGCUUGGCGACCCUUGUUUGACGCCCUACCCUCUUGGCACAAAUAACCAAACCAUUGGGAAAACAGGAAUCUGUCGCUUGCAGGUCGAAGGCUAGGCGGGGCGCUGGUUUUUCCACCCUAACAGUCGGGAGGAAGUUGUUGGGAAGAUCUGCAGUAGUAACGACUAAUGUUAUGGGCAUUGUCUGUCUUCUUUGACAGAGGGGCCCGCAGACCUCUCUGCUGGUCCCUGCUUCAGCCAAGCAAGUGGAGGUACUCAGUGGGGACUAACCACCACGAAAGGGGCCGUGGGACGCUGGGUGGGGACAGUUGCGGAGGGGUUGACAAUGCACCUUCUUGGGUGCCUCCCCAAAACCUCACAUGGUGCCAGUGACACAAUUCCGAGCGGGUGACAGAGGAGGCCGGGUGCAGGGGCUUUUGAAACUGGGCCCCGAGGUCGCUCUCACUCAAGGAGCUCCAGCUCCCUCAAAUUUCCAAAAGCACAGUUGGAGGGACCGAGGGCUUCCGGCAGCCAGGCGCGCAGGAAUUUGCGCGCUGGCCCCAGCGACGCCCGGGAGCGCAGAGGCUGCCCAGCCACAUUCCGGCGAACCGCCCCAGCGAGGCCCCAGCCCAGGAAGCGGCUCGGAAAACAAAGCGCUGUGGUCUCAGCCCAAGGUUAAAGUCCACCGCCAGCGCUUUUUCCCCCGGAAUCUGAGAGCGAUAGCGUUUCUCCAAAUAAACCGCCAAUAAAUCAGCUCCCGGGCCGAGCCAACUGAAGAGCUCUGGUGACCUUGGGGAAUACUUCCUGCCUGCCAGACCCAGCAGAGGACAGGCGUGGGGGAGGGGGCCAAUGUCAGCCCGUUCCCCCCCACCCCCCCAAGAAGAGAGGUGUGCCAAGGACAUUUGUGGGUGUUUAUUAGGGUGUGCGUGCCCAGAGGGGAUGGGCGAGGUUUGGAGCAAGGUUUGGGAAGCCCUGGUUAUUUGGGGACCUCAGUGCGCGGUUGUAAGGAGGUUUGUGAUGCUGGGGGCUGCUUCGGAAAGGCUGACCGAUGAGGGCCUCCAGAGCCACACGGUGCUAGUCCCUGGGGACCCAGCCCCGGACACUCUGGGCCCCUUCGGGGGCCCUGGUCUUUGUCUGGGUGUGACAGGGUGUGUUCGGCUUCGAGCUUGUGUAGAGUGUGACUAAUGGGAUUUAUGGAUGUCAGUGCCAGGGUGACUAAUGGAGGCUUGGCAGCACGUGCUUUUGGCGAGGGCCACUGCACCUAGGUGGGGACCCAGUGCCCCAGGAGGGGGCUGCUGGGUCUCAGAAGCCCCCUCCCCUCCCCCACUAGCUCCCAGCUUGGUCUGCGGCCCCUCCACACACGCCCUGGCAGGCCAGUGCAUGCUGCAGCGCUCCCCGACACAUCCCUCUGCGGCCUGGCCCCCAGAGGCCCUCCAGGCCUCCCAUCUCUCUGACCCGUGUGGUUGGUGCCUCCAGAUCCUGGCCUUCCCACCACCUUGGCAGAGCCCUCCAAUCCGCCUCUCUUUCAUCCUGAAAACUCCCUACACGCACAUUGUACAAGCCCCUUCGGGCUCAGCCCUGGGAUGUGGGUACCAUUCUAUCCAUUCAGUGGCUGCUACACCUUCAGGGUGGGCAGGAAAAGUGACAGACUCAUAGCUAGCAGGGCUGACCUCACCAGGCAGGGUGCUGGGGAGAACAUGCCUUCUUUUUUUGUUGAUUUGGGGGAGUUUUGGGGGGG